rnacentral:rRNA from 1 species
GAUGAACGCUAGCGGAAGGCUUAAUACAUGCAAGUCGAGCGGUAGAUGGCUUCGGCCAUUGAGAGCGGCGCACGGGUGAGUAACGCGUACAUGACCUGCCUGUCAGAAGGGGAUAGCCCUGGGAAACUGGGAUUAAUACCCUAUGGUAUUGAUAUUAUGAAUGAUAUCAAUUAAAGUUGAGGCGCUGACAGAUGGAUGUGCGUCUGAUUAGCUAGUUGGUAGGGUAACGGCCUACCAAGGCGACGAUCAGUAGGGGGCGUGAGAGCGUGGUCCCCCACACGGGUACUGAGACACGGACCCGACUCCUACGGGAGGCAGCAGUAAGGAAUAUUGGUCAAUGCCCGCAAGGGUGAACCAGCCAUUCCGCGUGGAGGAUGAAGGCCCUAUGGGUUGUAAACUUCUUUUAGAUGGGAAGAAAAUGCUAGAUGUAUCUGGUACUGACGGUACCAUCAGAAUAAGCACCGG